GGAACCUGGACUAUAUAUUCUAUAGAACAUAGUACAACGUAAAAGAGCGCGCCGGUUCCGGGUCCGCUCAGUUGUGCUCUGGACGCCGUGACAGACGGACGCACGGCAAAUGCGCUCCCGCAAAUCCGUUGUCACUCUCUUGCAUUGCGAUAUAUUGCAUAUCCUACACUUCGGGGGAGUGUUUUAGGAUGUAAUCAUUAUGAUCAGUACUAAAUAAAGGGAGUCAUUUUCCCAUUUCAUACGACUAACGUGCCGUAUCCUAUCCUGGUACUACGUACCUAGUACAUUUACGACGCAAAUUACGUCGUCGAACGUGAUGGGUUAUUAUACCUGCAAAAGUACGACCCAUAAGUUUGUGACAAAGAUCAGAUGGACACUUUCCCCGGCAUUGCAUUGUUUCAACUGAUAUGCAAGGAGGUAACCUUACAAUGCUCAGCGAACUACAGUCACUGCCUGAGACCACACUCCACAGACGCGAAAUUCAACGCAUCGGUAAGUUUCUCUGCUUGUUUAGUAAGCAUGCUUAUGAACAAAAGUGUCUGACAUAAGUUGUGAAUAUCUACAAGUAAGUUCCCGGGCGAAUGAUAUAGGUGUAACUAAACUUUGAAAACUCUGAGGUGUUGGAGAGUGUCUGAAUCAGUGUGGUGUUGCACUUUUGGGGUGAAGGUGCAAGGGUCACAGUGCACGUCCCUGAACAGCUGACGGCGACUUCGAAGGGCGACAAUAUUUUUGGGUGCUGGAAGAUAAGACUACUGCAUUUCAGUUGUCAGUGUCAGCAAGAUGUCAAAGGAAAUCAGCAUCGUCAUAACUAACCUGUUUCACUCAAAUUUCACAGCAUUCUCAGUCUUUCUGUCGAACUCAGUACUCAGUAAACAAGGACGGGGUAUUUCAACGCAAGGCACCGUGCGACAGUCACUGCAGCUGACCAUUGGAAUCGCAUCCGCCAUCACGGCAUCAGUGAUUGAGAACACAAAUGCCAUGUCUUGAUGACAGACAAUUGCUGACAACUCUACCAAAACAUCCUGAGGGACAAGAAAGGUUACUUAUCAAUCAAGUUGCUUACAUGUAUAUAGAACCUCCACACUUUGCAUAACACACCUUUACUAUAUCUAGUUAUAGACAGUGACAAACAAAUAAAAUAUUGAUUAUCAAGGACAACAAUUAGAUAUGUUGAUGCCUGUAGUAUCUGUAUGCUGGCAUGUCCUCUCCUGUUCUUCCAGUCCUUACAAGCUGAACAUAAUUAAAAUGAGUCAUGUUAGGGCUUUUACGUGCAGUGUAUUAUAUUUAGCUAAGUAUUGUAACAAUCAUAGUGUCAACAAAGUGGUUUAGGGUAAAUUUUUUUGGCACAUUAUGUAAUGUACUGAAAGUAAAACAAGUUCAUUGUCAAUUGGCUAUUAUGGCUAUGUUGUAUUUUGAUGUGGAAAUGUGAUUUUUGUCAAAAGUUAGCAACUUGAAAUGUCAAAGUUUUAGAGAAUACUUCCCUUUGUAAUAUAUCCAAUAAAGAUAUAAAAGUUAGAGGCA